UCUGAAUCUGCGUACGGCUCCGCAAACCAGUUGUAAACUACAGCAAGCAAGCACGGGGGGUUGGCCUUCACGGGUCGGUCCCUCGGGCGAUAUGGAUAACCCUGGUAAUUCUGAGGCUAAUACAAGAACGUAACCCCUGGCUGACUGAGCCCUCGCCCUCGGGUGGGGAUACUUGGGAGGCUGGGAAGCGUGCGAGUACUAAUGCGAAUGAGAACCGGGAAUGGGCGCACGCUUGGACCGCGCUACAAAGGAUCAUUACUCGGCAAUCCCUCCGGGGUGCGCUUUGUUUUGGCCCUAGCGGCUCUUGCGGUGUGCUUCUGACCUAUCAACUAGACGGCAGCGUAACGGACAUGCUAUGGU
rnacentral:rRNA from 1 species